GUUUGGGUGUAGCAGUGGUCCCUGUGAUAGUAAAUCUGCCUGGAACGGGAGUACCCUCGGAGGUUCCCGAUUCAUCUGUCUCGCCAUAGGGAACCAGGGUCGCCGGGGCCAGAACGGGAGGAUGGCGAUGACCUCUACCUUCUCCUUCUGAAUCUUCUUCAGAGUUGGGAAUAUGAGAGGUAUAGGAGGGAACACAUAGGCCAGAGUGAACUUCCAAGGUUGGGAUAGAGCAUCCUGUCCCCUGGCUCUGUGAUCGACCAGUCUCGAGAAGAAGGCUU